UCCCGCCCUUUUCUCGGUACACGGGCACUUGUUGACUGACAUAUGGGCACUUCUCACCUACAUGUGGGCACUUUUACCAAGCAUCAACAGAGACGCCAUAUUGUAUCUCGGAACUUGCGUAUAUUAAUAGACGAAAAUGUCGACAUCAGAGAGGUCCAAACAAAAGCGCAUAGAGCAGAAUGAAAAACAGGCAAAGAAAUGCAGGCGGUUGUUCCAAUUUUUCAGCAGGUACUAUCUUUGUUCAGAACAACAUCACAGUGAAGAUGGCAGUGCACACAAGAUGGCUGAGUCAUGAGGCUGCUGUUCAGACUGUAAGGAAGCUGUAUUAGCCUAUAAUAACAGAUCUCAAAAAUGCAGUUGCAUCUGGACGUGACAAGGUGAUCAGAGAAAGUAAAGGAAUCCCAGCGAGCAGCCUCCUCAAGAUGUUGAAGAAAUAUGAGAAGCUGUACUUUAUCCAUCUUCUCUGGCUUGGUUUCUCUUACCAGGACCUUUGAAAGGGAAGAUGUAGACCCAUCCAUCAUAGAACCAAGAGUGACAGCAACACUAUCUACCCUUAGGAAGAUGAAAGAGUGAGACCCUCCAUUCACAAGCCGAGUAUCAUCUGUGGCACAAGGAUUAGGAAUAAUAGUGGAAGAUGACAUUCUCCAGACUAUUAAAGCAGUCAAAAAUGAAUUCAUAGACAAUUUGAAUCCCAAAAUGGAGGACAGGAUGGAGAAUUCCACUUUGAUUGACAGUCUUGCUGUUGUUCAACCUAAGCAUUGUGGAUGAAAACAAUCUUGUCUUUUAUGGGGAUACAGCAAUUUCCACCCUAGCAGUCCAUUUCAACUUGGAUGAGGAUCUGACAUUGCAUGAAUGGACUGAUAUGAAAUAAGGCAAUAGUAGCUAUAAGUAUGAUGACAACAGUUCUGUCUUUCUUAUUUAACUUGUCAUGCACUUAAUCAUAAUCCUAUGUAUGUAUUAUGUUAUAUUAUAUUAUAUUGCUUAUGAAUCAUAUUCUUGAAAAUGUGUCAUGUUAAAGCAACAGCAAAAUAUAGAUGUAAUAAAAUAUUUGUUAAUAUA